CUGAUUAAUCAUCAGAUUACUGCAUUACACAGAUAUUUACAACAACUGCUAUUGUAGCAGAGAUAUUACACUGAUAUUUACAAUCAGAUAUACAUGAUUGGAACUUACAUUAUUACAUUGAAUUCUAUGAAGUAGAUGCCCAGACAAAUAACCUCUCACAGGAGAGGGAUGUCCAUACUCCACUUGCAUUUCGCAAGGGAGAAAGAUUUUUAAAUAUAAAGAACAUUUAGCCCCCACAAUGCUUUUGUGGGGGCUAGAACGGGAUGGCAAUUCAACCCGGACCCAGACGAAACCUGGAUUUUUCGGACCGGGUUCAACCAGUACCGGAUUAAAUAAAUCUGAUAUCCGGAUACCAUUUUCAAAACCCGCAUAUAUCCGGGUCCGGUUCCGAGUUCAGGUGAACCCGUAUAUCCAGAAUCCGGACCUGGAUAUUUAUUAAUUUUAAUAUUAAUUUUUUAAAUUUAUUUUUAAUAUAAAUAGGAAAAAAAAGAGCCCAAAUGCCAAAUGGUACCCUAGCUCAUUUACACUUUCACAGCCGCAUCGACCAUUUCCUCUCUCAGUCCCUCUUUAGCUCAUCUUCAUCUUCAUCAAAUCAUCGUUUUCACCUUCACGGUUGUUCAUCAUCAUAAUCACCAGCCGCUGUUUCCUUGUCUUCUUUGGCGCGACCGGUAACCAACGGUGAUGCGGUUGUUCAUCAUCAUCAUUAUUUAUAGUUUAUUUAAUUUUGAAAUAUUUUUUAAUUGUUGGCUGUGAUAAUUCACUCAACCGAAGUGCUUUCACUUUCUUAUCUCUUUCGCCUACUCAUCUCAACUUUCUCUUUCGGUCUUUCAUCUGUUCUCUACAUGGACUCUGAGGAGUUACAUCGGUUCUAUACUGCCCUUUCUCUUCCCAAGGAAGAAUGCGAGGUAGUUGCUAUUGAGGGGAGUGCACACGAUGCAGGCGUACACAUAUUAGAACAGUGCUUGGUGGAGGAAGUUUUAACAAAUAAGGCAAUCCGUUUCGAAGGGUUCAAAACGACCACUCAACAAAUCUGGAGAACUACUCACGGGUUGAAAACUGAAAGUCUUGGAUGUUGCUGUUAAUAGAUUAAAGUGCUGGAAACGUGAUCGAUUUGAUUUAAAUGCAGCAAUAAUGAUGAUGAUAUUGAACCAAGAAUUGAACGAGCUGAUUUGUAUUUGGUUUGUUUAAAACCUAAAUUUGUACUUGAUUUGCUAAAAUCCUGGAUUUGUAUUUCUAUUUGAUUUUUCAAUUGAAUUUAGUUUUUUUUUUCAAUUGGAUUCAUCAAUCCGGGUUGAAAACCAGCAAUCUGGGAACCCGAAUUUUCCCGGGUUGAACCCGGACCGGGCCCGGAGUGGAAAAGGCAGGUUUAUUUCUGGGUCCGGUAUAAAAAAUAUGCGUCCGGGUCCAGAUCCGGAAAGGCUAAACCCGCACCCGGACCCAGAUUUUGCCAUCCCUACGUCUGUCAGCCUGUGUCUAUUCAAACCUGCACCCACCUGGGUUUGUGCGUGUGGUUAUAUUAUUUUUUUAAUAUUAUCAUUUAUAGAUUAUAAGUAUUUAGUUGUUAUUAUUAUUAUUGAUGUACGGUACAGCAGUAUUAUUAUUAUUAUUAUUCCGGUUGAAAGUCUUUGAUAAAAUGUUAUUUUUUUUUUGGAAUACUGAUUAAUCAUCAGAUUACUGCAUUACACAGAUAUUUACAACAACUGCUAUUGUAGCAGAGAUAUUACACUGAUAUUUACAAUCAGAUAUACAUGAUUGGAACUUACAUUAUUACAUUGAAUUCUAUGAAGUAGAUGCCCAGACAAAUAACCUCUCACAGGAGAGGGAUGUCCAUACUCCACUUGCAUUUCGCAAGGGAGAAAGAUUUUUAAAUAUAAAGA
rnacentral:lncRNA from 1 species